CUCUCAAAGCCAAGUACCCACCUGGCUUCAUGUAAUGCUGUUGCUGCUGAGUUUCAAGGUUGAUUUAGAAAGAAAAAAAAUACAUUUUUUUCUAAUUAACAUAAAAACCAGUGAAUUCUGAUGAUCGUGAGAAAAUCAUAUGGUUUUCCAAAUCCUGCCUUUAAUUGAUAGUGUUUUCAGUUGUGCUUUUAGACUCUGCAGUUUGAAUCAAAGCAAGAAAGGGUGGUGAGGAGAAAAAAAAAAGAUUAUAGAAAGAAGAUGACCUGCCGGGGCAAAUCUUAGUUAAUACAGAGAGGCCUUGAUGUGUCCCAUUCCAUAGCUGGUUGAGAGAGACAGAAACUUUUUUUCCACUUGGAGUUCAGGGAACACCCCCAGUUUACAAGGGAGUAAUAUUUCUCCAGAUAUGAAAGCAGCUUCUAAUCUGCUUUGACCUUGCCCAGAAAUUCAAGUCCAAAUGUAGUAACAUAGAAGCUGACAGGUCAACCAAAAGAAUUUUCAGGGGGAGGAGGAUCUUACCCCAUCUUUCUUUUUUCUCCCCCCACCCACCCACUCCUGCUUGAACUCUUAUCAGGGAUUGCUUGAAAUGCAAUGGUGGCUCAGCUGGCAGUCGAAAUAACACCAGCUAUGUUAAUUUUUUUUUUAAAGCAAGAAUAAAUAAUAUGGAGGGCAUUUAUUGGAUUAAUCCAGAAUGUACUCCUGCUCUUAAAAGCCAUGUACAUUUUUACAAACAUGUAAAAAAAUUACCUUUUUACAUGUUAAAAAUUGAGAACUUGAAUUGCACAUUAUUAUUGUACGAUGAGUUAGCAUUUACACUGAGCCAUAGCUGUGCAGGAUGCUUUAACAGUGAAUGGACAUUGCCCCUGCCCUAAGGAGUCUAUAAUCAAAGUGCCUGAUGCUGCAAACAUUUAUGACUGGUUGUAGUGGUUAAUAAUGUGAAUAGUUCAGUGGGAUUUACUGCCUGUCAUGGUGAAGUCAAUCAGGCUACUUACGAUAGUAAGCACUAUGUCUAGUGUUUGUAAUGCUUGAAGCCUUUAGCUGGAUGAAGCAUAACAUGACAGAGAAAUGGCAUCAGGCAAGGGAGGGGGAGUGAGGUUUAUACAGUAUUCAGUUAGUACUUCCUCCAGUCUUGUAUGCAGUAUUUGUUCCAUUUUCUUUUAUUAAGUGGACAUGGGAGUUUGAGCCAGUGCUAGAGUCUUGCCAUCAACUUUGUGUUCUGUUAACAGAACUAGGUUUUUUGUUUCUCUAGUUAAAGACCAGUUUAGGAAACAAUGAGAAAGUAGGAGAUCAUUCUCAUCAUUCCAGUAGUUUUAUAAUAAUAAAUAAAAUGGUGCCUUCUUCUUGGACGGUCUUGGACAAAUAAUUUGGGGCUGUAGAAGUAAUCCACAUAUGCCCCCUCUUCUGCUUAAUUCCUGUAUCAUCUACACAUAUGCACAUGCAUAUUAAUACAUACAUUACAUUGGCUCUAGAAAUCAAUUUUUAAUUUACUUAAUUGUCACCUUGACACACUGAAUUACAGACUUGCUUCAGUAAUAAUAAUUUUAAAUGUCUGGAGGUUGCGUCUUCUCUUUAAAAAUGAUAAUAAGGCAGCCCUUUUCACUUCUGCAGAUAAACAUUUUGACAAGUGAUCAAAGGCUGUAAGAGCACAGGGGAAGACUGGGUGCCUGUUAAUGCUUUACCAGUCAGUAAUGGUGGGACUGUGCUUUUUGCUAGUCUGGCAAAAACUGUAAUGUGGACUACUUCCUCUUCGUUUUUUUUUCCUCACUCCCUCUGUCUUUUCCCCACUCCAGAAAAUGUUUUGCUGUUCUCCACUAACCCACAUACAGCUCGCUGUAUCCACUUCCCAGAUUAUUCCAUUUAAGGUACUGGAAAUUCAGCAAGUCUGAUUCUCAGUUUCCACCACAUCAAGAACAGAAAGGAAGUUUGGACCCUUAAACCCGAAGAUACCAAUUGCUUCUGCAUGGACUGCAGAGCUCCCCAAUGCUCUCAGCCCCCAGGACAGCACGGUUCCAAACAGUCUGCAUUGCCAAAGGCUCUCUCCAUGGCCACAGUCCUCAGAACCCCACCUCAAUGGGAUUCCACAUUUUCAGGCAGGGACAGUAUUAAUUUACCUGCUAAAGUCCUGUGGGCUUGGUGGGGUGAUGACAUUGUUGAGAGCAUUUCCCUGCUGCAUGCCCUCCUUUACCGCUGAACCUGAAUCCCACAGAGCACCUACUGAAGGGCUUAUAUGGGGGAAACAACGCAAUAGAGAACUCCUCCCAACUAGAUUCACUGUUUCCCUGGAACAAUGUACUAGUGGUUCAUCUUUCUUUCCCUCAGGAACAAUAAGAAAUUAUCUUAUAGAUUAGGUCCAGGACCAUCCAGCCUUUCUAAGUGUAGAUCCAAGAUGCCAAAUGAUGUCAUCUGAAAACUUGCAUAGCAUAGAGAUGUUUACAAGAUGGCACAUCAGUUAUUCAAAUGUACAGCCUCUACCAAAGGAAACGUCCAUUCAGGCCUGAAAUUCAGCUAAUACUUCUCUUUAAAUUGCACACUUAUGGUCAGAAUAAUUUAUUCAGUAAUAUGUCUCUUCUCUUGAACACUUCAGAAGCUGAAAUGAAUUAGAUUUUUUUUUUUUAAACCUCUGAAAUUUGUCUGCGGUAGUUAGAUCCAAUGAACUAAUGGAUGAUUUUCUCACAUCUUGUUCUCCAAUUUUAUUCCUUUCCAAUCAUAUCCUUCACAUGGUCUUGGAGAGUGUUGGCUACAAUCAGAUCUUUUAUUUUUCUUCACUUUCUUCCAUUUAUGCAUUUAAAUUCUGCUUCUCAGCAUUUUUUCUUCGAUUGACAGACACCUUAUCAACUUCCUAGGUGCAUGUUUGUUUCUCACAGCACUGUGUGAUUUCUUACCACAACUGGCAAUGUCUGCAUGCACCCAAAGCUAACGGAUAGUUGGUUAUGACAGCAGAUGAUCUCUAUAGUCUGAAUCCACAUCCAUGGUCUGCUCCAUUGCAACUUCACCUUUCGAGGGGGCACUUAUAUGUUAUAUCUACAUCAGACUUUUGUGCCAAAAAUAUUCCAGUGUCAAUACCACCAGUGCAGGUUCACUGUGUAUACCAUCAGUGUAGAUAGGGCUUCAGGCAGCUGCAGGAGCCUUAAGCACAGUGACCCUGAUUCUCAAACGUAUUUAGGCUUCUGACUUCCACUGAUUUCAAUGGGCGUUGAGAGCCUAAAUACCUUUAAGGAUCUGGGCCAGUGUCACCUAACCUUGCUCAUAAACAGCCUAGAUGACCUAGUGCUUCAAAUGCAGUCAGUGGUUUGUCUUGUUUACAAUAGUGCUACCACCAUUGCUACCACUGGUGGAGUUGCACAGGUGAAACUCUUAGGAAAAAAAAGCUUGUGUGGAUACGUCCCUGUCUGCAAUACCCUAACUUUUAAACCAGGUUAAGAAAAAUAUCAUGCUAUAGAAGAGUUUAUAUCUACACUAUAAGCUCUAAAAAUUUGUUUUCAGUUGUGUGGCAGAGCUACGUGAAUCCUUCCAUGGGAGUCUUCUGAUGCAUCCGAUGAAGUGAGCUCACAAAAGCUUAUGCUCAAAUAAAUUGGUUAGUCUCUAAGGUGCCACAAGUACUCCUUUUCUUUUUGCGAAUACAGACUAACAUGGCUGCUACUCUGAAUUCUGACACAUGGGUAAUUUGAACAUAAUAGAGCUUACAAUGUGGAUUGUACUUUAAUUAUUAUUUCUCUGAUCUUCUGUAUUACAGUAUUUGAUACCCCUGCCUUUAUUUAUCUUUUUGACCAUUUUAUUAUACACCUCUACUCCAGUUCCUGUAUAUCUCUCAAAAAUUUCAUUAUUCACAAAACUGAACAUCUGCUUCCUCACCUAAAAGACUUUUAUUAAGUAAUUAUGUUGUGUAUAGUUUAUUUCUCUCUGUUGGCACCUAAAGUGAGACUGCUCCACUUAAAAUCUGCUUUGCCAUAUAUAUCAACACAGAUAUGAGGAGAUUAGCGUUAUUCAAGACAGAGAAGCCAUAUGUUGGAACAAAAAUGCAAAGAUCCAAGGCCUUUAAGAAAAUCAAAUAAUGUGGAAAACAUAUAUGUCUACUUAUGGCAAGACCCUCAGCUCCAUUUAAGAUAAUUUAAAUAUUCAAGUAGCAAGGGGUGAGAAUAAAUUAGCUAAUUUAUAAGUAAACCUUGAAUUAUUUUAUUUGGUUUAAACGAUCUCGCUAAGGGAUUAUAGCUGAAAUAAGAAAGGCAGAAAGACUGGGGUUUUAGCCUUAUUUUUAUUCACAAAAUUGUUUUUGUCCAGGGUGAUGGAAGCUUUGGAGUGUUGUCUCACAGAGUGUCCUUUAGUAAAGAGAGUCAUGGAAGAGCUUGCCAAGGGGAUAGUACUUUCUGUUUUGUUAGGGCAAGGAAGACAGAACAUAGAGUCCAUUACUUUUAGGAUAAAUUGUCCCAUCUGAAAUGUGGGGACAGACAGUAGUGUUUAGAGAAGGCAGGUCAAAGGUAGAGAUAGAGACAUAUAAGGAUUUGAGCAUCAUGUGGUGUUAUCUGGUUUUAUGGAAAAGGAACACAAUCUGAACCACAUUAAGGAGACUCCUCUUCCAUACAAUGGCCCCGUCCUGAAACUCUUACAUGUAUGAGUAAGAAUUACUUCCUUGAAUGAUGACUGAAGGAUCUGUUAUGUCAUGGCUUGUUAUGUGAGCCGUCCGCAACAUCGUGCAUGGAAAAAGGUCAUUAUUAAGAGAAACAAUCCGGAAAAUGUACUGUUGUUAAUUUCAAUGCAAAAUAAAUUGCAUACAAAUAAUCUAUGUUAAAAAUUGUUGUUUAGAUUGCAAAAUCAGGAAUUAAAAAGUUAGAAAAUGCCAUAUUUACAAUAGUCCAUGCAAUGUGAAAGCAACUCUUUCACUUCCAAUUUCCCUGACAAGGUCUUGUGUAAUGUCCCACCAAUUAGAAUGUAGCAGGUUAAUGCAUAUAAAACAUCUCCCUUUAAAAUAUGCUGCUGACCUUUGGGGCCUGAUCCCGCAUCACUGAAAUGAAUGGGAGCUUUGUUAUUGACUUCAGUGGUGCAGGAACUCCCAAUGGACUGAGGGAGACCUUGCUGACAUCGCGAUCAGGCUGGAGAGCUCUCUGACAGCUGUAAAGAGCAGCAGAGAAUGGAGAGAAAGCAGCGGCAGGUGGGGGAAUAGCGUCUUCCAGCUCCUCCACCCCCAGUGGAGUUUGAGGACAGAGUGUGACCAACAGAAGCAGGCAGGGAAACAAGGUCUGCCAGCUCCACCGUCACUGGUGUCACAGUUGUUUGGGAGUAGGUUCCUUGAUCUGCAGUCUUGGAAGAAGAGAGGGUGAUGGUAAAAGAUUGUAUGAGCCCAAACUGUUUCAGCAACAAAAGCUGCUACAUCUAAACUACAACACCUAUAUCUACCACGGGAAGUGAUUCUGGCCCCUGACAUCACUAUUAGGAUGACUGAAGGGCAUACCCACCUAAAAUCAGGAAGAAGAGGUUCCCGCUCUACCCUGGGGGAACCCCACCUCCAUCCACACACUGAAGGAAGUGCUGGGAGCAGGAUUACAGGAGCCAUCCUGUCAAGGACUGCCACAAAGUUCAGGUGGAAGUACAGCAUCUUGGGAACUUCAGUGAGUUUUGGGGACUGGACUCCCAGUAACUACCUUGGGAGAAAACCUUGAAGGAAACUCUGAGAGUGCUAGGUGGCUUGUUUCUUGCACAUAGGAGCAUUAAACCCAUUAAUUUUAAUUCUGAAAUGCUUUGGGAUAUGAGUUUAAAUCCAAAUCCCACACCAAGAUUUGGACUCAUCAUCCCCAGUGCUGACACUUCAGGAGGGUUAGUGGGAGAAGGGUGGACCCGUCACAGUUAUAGUAUAGUACAAUAAGGUCUUGUUUCUUCUCUAGAAGAUGGUCACAUCACAGACCGUAGCUCUCUCAAUCUUUUUCACUCUGACUGGGGCUGGAGGGUUUUGUAUGGAGACAAACUUUUUCAGGUGUUGGCCCCUUUAAAACUGGCCAACAGAAUGUCGUCUCUUGAAGAGCUGAGGGUUCCAGUACAGUUGAGACAGGUGGAUCAGGCUGUGUCGGGGGGCGGGCUGUGGAUCCCUGAUCCCACCUUCCCCGAGGGGAAACCAGGCAGGAGGGGCAAGGCUUGGAGCAAAUUUACAGUGAAAGAAACCAGAACAAAGGCAAAGUGUUAAAGAGAAUCCUCAGAGGAGGAAAGACCAAGGAGACGAUAGAAAAAGUGACCAAGAGACGGACGGAGAAAGGAAGGCAGGGAAGACAGGUGAAGUGAAAAUGUAGAUAUUAUUGCUAGACAAAUCCUGUUCACUCUUCUCUAAAUUAUUAGUGUUUAUAUAAUAUAAAGUUGUGACCUUGAUCAUUGCUAAGUUCUGGUCCCUGCUCUGCCACUCACUCCUUGUGUAACUUUGAGGGGGAUCAGCCUCCUUAUAGUUCAGUUUCACCACCAGUAGAAAUGGAAAUAGCACCUGUCUGGCUCACAGAGUAUUUAAGGCUGUUUGUAAAGUACUUCAGAGUAACAGCCGUGUUAGUCUGUAUUUGCAAAAAGAAAAGGAGGACUUGUGGCACCUUAG